rnacentral:misc_RNA from 1 species
UCUAGUUUUUUCAAUGAAUUAACUUUUUUGAGAUCUUUAGAUCUAAGCAAUUGUGACAUUGAAAAAAUCCCACCAACAAUAAGCCAAUUGAUACAUUUGAGGCAACUUGACUUGUCUUCUAAUGAUCAUCUGAAGUCGUUGCCUGAAACAUUGUGUGAAUUAUAUAAUUUGCAAACCUUAGAUGUUUAUGGUUGUAGGAAUUUGGCAAAGCUGCCCGAUGGUGUUGGAAAACUCGUUAACUUGAGACAUCUGCAUAUUCGCGGUACAGGCCCUAUUCUCAUGUCGAAAGACAUUAGGAAAUUGAGCUGUCUUAGGACAUUAGAGUGGGUCCGUGUUUGUUAUGAUAGAGAAGCAUUCUCUCUUGGGGAUCUAGAAAGUCUGGACCUUCUUCAAGGAUUGCUUAUGUUGUCGGGCCUAGAAAAUGUGGACAACAUGGAUGAGGCUAAGAAAGCACAACUCAAGAAAAAGAAAGGAAUCAACAGAAUGCAAUUAGCUUUUAAUGAAAAGGAAAGGGAAGGGAGAAUACGUCACGAUGAAGAAUUACUUGAAGUCUUAGAGCCACACACUAAUUUGGAGACUUUAGGAAUACAUGGCUAUGAAGGCAUAGUUUUUCCGGAUUGGAUCAGGUCAUUAAUUAAUUUGAAGCGUGUUAAGCUCACACUUUGUAAAAACUGUGAGAAAUUACCUCCUUUGGGAAAGUUACCAUUCCUUGAAAUCCUUGAAUUGGAAGAAAUGGAACGCCUGAAAAAGUUGGGCGUUGAGAUUUUGGGAAUAGAAACUUCAAGUCAACAAGAGAUUUCGUCAUCAGUCACCGUCUUCCCCAAAUUGACAACACUUAAAUUACGUUCCUUGAAGGAGUUGGAGGAGUGGGAUGAUGGAAUGAACAAAAAUGGAGAAGAAAAUGUUGCCAAUUUUACAAUCCUGCCAUGUCUUCGUUCUCUCCAUAUUCGGGAUUGCCCAAAGUUGAAGUUGGAGGCGUUACCAGAUUACCUUCUCCAGAAGAUUUCUGAAUUUCAAGGCUGCUUAACAAAAGAGGAAAGGAGGGAAAAGGCCAAACAAAUCUUGCAUCUCUAACCAUCAAAUAUUGGUAAUGAGCAUGUGCAAAGGUGAGACACCAACAGAUUCCACGGGAUUAGGGCAAAUGGGCAAAAUCUCCUUGGUCAAUCAAAGCAAUUGCGUCUUCAUGUGCAAAUCCUUCA